UUCGGGGCGGGCCGGUGCCUCGGCGUCGCGCCCCGUGUGGUGACGGGGCGAGGCGGGACGGGACGGGACGGGACGGGACAGGCCGCGGGCGCCCCGGUGCAGGGAAAGAGAAAAUGAACCCUUUCUUUUUUCUGGGUUUUGGACAUUCUCAUCUAGUCUACUUCUGGAAUAGAAGUUUGCCUUUCAACUCAACGAAUGAGACAUACUGCUACAGCACUGCCCGGGGCAGCACAGUGCUUCAAGGAGUAACUUUUGGUGGAAUCCCAACUGUCCUGCUGCUUGAUGUAACCUUCUUUUUUAUUUUAAUAUUACUGUUUUCCAUUAUAAGAAAGAGAUUCUGGGACUACGGUCGUGUUGCUCUGGUGUCAGAAGCUGAAAGUGAAUCAAGAUACAACCGAUUGUCAACAUCUUCAUCAGUACCUGAAGAUCUUGAAUAUGAUAGGGGGUUUUGUUCUUGGAUGACAGCUGCUUUUCGGAUGCAUGAUGAUGAGAUUCAUGAGAGAUGUGGUGAAGAUGCCAUACAUUACCUCGCCUUCCAGCGUCACAUCAUCUGUUUGUUGAUUGCUGUCAGCAUUUUGUCUGUGUGUGUCAUAUUACCUGUCAACCUAUCGGGUGAUUUACUUGAUAAAGAUCCCUAUAGUUUUGGAAGAACAACUAUAGUAAACUUACAAACUGGGAAUGAUCUUCUUUGGCUACACACAGUUUUUGCUGUUGUUUACCUGAUUCUGACUGUUGUCUUCAUGAGACAUCAUAUGAAGUAUGUCACAUACAAGGAAGAAAACACAGUUAAGUGCACAUUGUUUAUAACUGGUCUUCCAAAAAGUGCAAAAGAAGAGACAAUACAAGGCCAUUUCACUGCUGCCUACCCAACCUGUGCUGUGCUGGAGGUCCAGCUGUGUUAUGAUGUAGCCAAACUGAUUAAUCUCUUCAAAAAAAGAAAACAGGCAGAAAAAAGCCUGACUUACUAUGAACACCUGCAUCAGAAGUAUGGCAAACGGGUCCAAAUCAACCCUAAACCAUGUGGUCAGUUCUGCUGUUGUGAAAUGAGAGGAUGUGAAAGGGAGGAUGCUGUAGAUUAUUAUACCAAAGUUAGAAAUGAGCUGAUGGAAGAAUAUUCAAAAGAGGAACAAGCUGUUCAUAAUAACCCACUGGGAAUGGCUUUUGUAACAUUUCAAGAGAAAUCCAUGGCAACCUAUAUUCUUAAAGACUUCAAUGCCUGCAAAUGUCAGAGUAUUAAGUGUAAAGGAGAACCCCAGCCAUCGUCCUACAGCAGGGAGCUGUGUGUGUCAAACUGGGAGGUUACAUACGCUCCUUAUCCUGAGAAUAUUUGUUGGAAAAAUCUUUCAGUGCGUGGACUGAAAUGGUGGUUUAGAUGGGCUUGCAUUAAUUUGCUUCUUUUUAUUGUGCUGUUUUUUCUUACUACUCCUUCAAUAAUCAUCUCAACCAUGGACAAGUUCAAUGUCACUAAACCUAUUCACUACCUUAACAAUCCAAUCGUCAGUCAGUUUUUCCCAACGCUCUUGCUCUGGUCAUUCUCAGCUUUGCUACCAACAAUUGUCUAUUAUUCAACUUUGCUGGAGUCCCACUGGACAAAAUCUGCAGAGAACAGAAUAAUGAUGCAUAAAGUCUACAUAUUUUUGAUCUUCAUGGUAUUGAUUCUGCCUUCCCUUGGUCUGACCAGCCUUGAUUUUUUUUUCCGCUGGCUGUUUGACAGAGAAUCGUCUGAUUCUGCAGUUAGGCUGGAAUGUGUCUUUUUACCUGACCAGGGAGCCUUCUUUGUGAAUUAUGUGAUUGCUUCUGCUUUCAUUGGCAAUGGGAUGGAGCUGCUGCGCCUGCCUGGCCUCAUCCUUUACACCAUACGCAUGAUAAUGGCCAAGUCCACAGCAGAAAGGAAAAAUAUUAAACAGCAACAGGCAUUUGAAUAUGAAUUUGGAGCAAUGUAUGCCUGGAUGUUGUGCGUGUUCACUGUCAUCAUGGCCUAUAGCAUUACAUGUCCCAUCAUUGUUCCAUUUGGUUUAAUAUACAUACUCCUGAAGCACAUGGUUGACCGUUAUAACCUUUACUAUGCAUAUCUCCCUGCCAAGCUGGAGAAGAAGAUGCACUUUGCAGCUGUGAAUCAGGCCCUUGCAGCUCCAAUUCUCUGCCUUUUCUGGCUCUACUUUUUCUCAUUUUUGCGGCUAGCACUGAUGACAAAUGACCAUGCUUGCACUGUAUUUUUCUAGCAUACCAGUAGUAAAAAAGAUGAUGUUGGCUGACUGCCAUCUAACUUUGGAGAUAGCUCCCUGUGGAUGUAAGAGGCACUUGGAACUAUUGCUUCAGGCUGUCCUUGGAUUUGAGCAGAUGUCCCUGCGUUACUUGUAUGUAUGAGAGCUUGUUUGUUCCCUUGUUUUGAGAGCUGUCUUUGCAACCAGAAAGACCAACAAAUCUAUGUCCUCUAAAAUAACAGCAAAACUUCUAGAGUAUGCUUUAGAAAAAUCAACUCCAAACAUGCAGCAGUUGCUGCGCAUCUUUAAUUGUUACGAAGGAAAUCCUGGUGUAGUAAAAAUUAAAUCUUUAUAAUAAUGUUUUCUGGUUCCACAUCUGUGGUAAAACCAUCACUUGUCAUGGAAUUUAGUGAUGGAAAACACAGGCUAGAUUAUCAUGUUUGGCUUUGUCAGUAUAGAGGAUCCUGUUUACGGGAUGUUGUUCAGUGAUUUGUCAGUGCACAGGGCAGUCUAGCCAAGCGGUGUGAGUCUCAGAGCUAGGAACUUGGGAUUUUGAUUUUAUGGCCAUUGAUUUCAUUGCUGCUUCCUGUGCCAAAGAGAAGGAAGGAGGGGAGAACAGUGCUAUGCUUCCUUAUCUGCAAAAUAAAUCAGUUUAUGUUGUGUAAAGCUUGAUUGCUUAGUCACUGAUUUGUACAGUUUGCCUGGUGUGGAUAUUUCGGUCUGGUUGCAGAGUACAGGGAUAAUACUCUGUUUCCUCACUCAUGAUAUUAACGUAAAGCUGCGAGAACCUCUCCCAGUUCUCAGGAUCAAAUACCAGUUGACUGCAUACAGAAGGUGAUAGGCUGUACUGGUGUCACCUAUUUCCUUCUCAGUCACUGUUUUCUUCCUCAGCUCUCGUGCCAUCCACUCACCCUUCACACACCUGAAGCACUGCUGGGCCUCUCGCAACAGAGGCGGUGACGGUACUCUCUGCAGCUCAGCCCCUGUCUCCUGGGAGAGUCGCUGCAGUCCCAUGUUCUCUAGAGCUGUUGGCAGGGAGGAGCACUGAGGACAGGGAAAAAUGAUCUUUGGAGAUUUCUUCUUCCCUGAUCUCUGCUGUUUGCCUCGUGGUUCGCACCAUACACUGGCUUUGGUGUAGAUGUUCCUCACCAGUUGGUAAAUACUGAUGUAAUCUACUUUUAUAAAAACAACCUCUUCUGAAGGACAUUCCAGAAUACCCAUAGGGAGGUUUUUUUCACUUCCCUUUUUGGUUUGAAUAGUGACAUGUUUGUGGGGUUUCUUGGUUUUGGUUUUUUUUUUUUUUUUUGCAUGUGUAUAGUUCUCUCCCCUCAUGAACAGAUCUGUGCAGGGCUUAUACAACCUGCUAAAACUUAAAACUUGUCUGUUUUGUGCCACAGCAUAUGCUGGGGUUACCACAAAAAUAUCUGAGGGCUGGUGUUGCCUCUUGACUAAAGAAGCUUGAAAACAGCUAAGUGGUGUGUGUGUGUGUGUGUGUGGUUGGUUGGUUGGUUGGUUGGUUUUUCCCCCUAAUAUCUUAUUAAUGUAAUAUUUCUCUAUCUCCCUCUCUCUCAUAUUCUCAUCCAUAUUCUCUCUCUCUCACACUCAUGCACUCGCUCUCUUCUGAAGAAAAACUUAUCUUUCAGCUUAGUUCAUGUUUACUAAGUUUCUUCUCCUAUUCCUUUUCCUUGGAUUCUUCCCAGUUCUGUCUGUAUUUUAUCGCGGUGUCCUACACAGAGAAAGCUGCUCAAAUUGGAGGUUCAGUAGCACCAAAGUAUUUUGUAUUAUUAAUGAAAGUAUUUUAGAAGUGGGUCCAGAAUAGAUGACUGAGGGAGGAGGAGAAGAAUCGCUCUGAGUCUUGUUUGUCACUCAAGUACUGCAGCCACCUUUCUUGGCCUUUAAGGAAGCUGGGAAAACAGCUCGCUCAGCAGUUUUACCAGUCAAGGAGCUUUGUGCAUAAUGAGGUUCUUCUCUCUGUGGCUGGAAGUGGCGUGCCCAGUCCUCUUAAGGAAAAAAAAACCAAAAGGCUUCUGAAAGUGGGGAAGAUAAAGUGAAGAUAGAAGACACACAAGGUGAAAGAGGGAAUGACACAGAUGUACCAACCAUCCCAACAUCUUCUAUGUACGUCCCCCGAGUUUUGCAUCAUUCUACAGAAAGGACAAUGCUUGCCCA